GAUCCGGUAGUUCAGCUGGUUAGAAUGCCGCCCUGUCACGGCGGAGGUCGCGGGUUCGAGUCCCGUCCGGAUCGC
rnacentral:tRNA from 22 species